rnacentral:tRNA from 1 species
GGGGAUAUGGCGAAAUAGGAAGACGCUGCGGACUUAAAAUCCGUUGAUUUAAAAAAUCGUGAGGGUUCAAGUCCCUCUAUCCCCA